GAUGCAGUGCCUGCAGCAAAUGCUUUGCACCACGGGUCUUGUAUUGUAUUGUAUUGUAGACGGACUAUCGAUCGGAAUCUUUCCAGUAGUUGAAUAACGAUGAGUUUAGGUUCGUGAAGGCCACCUGGAAACGUCGAAAGUGUCGCCAACCGCGUGACGAACUUAAUCGAAUAGAGUGUAGAAGUUCGGUAUGCUCCUGUCCUCGCCCAGGAAAUGUGUAGCCGAAGUUUGUCUAUCGGUGGUGUCGGAUAUGUUUUAGAUUCGAACUCCGUGGCUCUUUUCCGUCGUAAGUGUAAAAAGUAAUAUCCACUAAUUGCGCUUGUUGGUAUGAGGUGGUGAUGUGGUUGGAGACACUAAUAACCUUUGUCGGCGUUUUAAUUUAUUUUGAUCUUCAAUAUGGAAAUUCGAGUUCAGAUUUUCAGGAGUGCUUAGGUGAGUAUUUUAGCUAAGCUCUGAUCAUUGUUUAGCGAAUGAUCCAACAUUUUUCGCUGAAGUGGUUGUAUUAAGAAGAUCGUACCACAGAGUCAAGCAAAACCUCGAGGAAACUUGAUGGCACAAUGUUCGAAAAUCUACGUUAAAUCUUAGAAACACUCCAGUAUUUGUCGUGGUGUAUAUUUGUUCGCAUGCAGCAAAAUUCUGUUGCGUCAGUGAUAGAAAUGCCGACAUCGCACAGCUAAGACUAGGAAGUUGUUACGGAAACUCCGAAACAGUUCUGCUGCAUUCAAUUAACUUGUGAUGAGGCUGCGGUGUUCUUGCCUCUGAUCAAGAAGUGGGUUUCUUUUGACCAAUUAAAUUUAAAUGUUUUUUUUUCUCUUCCGUACGACAUAUGACCAAUGCGGUAAUUCUCCUCUAACUUUAAAUUGGUGGGGGUUUACAAUUGACUUCUGCGGCAUAAAUCGGACCUCGCAUGUUUUAACCUUAUUUCUGAAAGUUCACAAUCUCAUUAGGAUCGGCAUUAGUCACCCAUGGGCUGUUGGGCUCCCACACUCUCCUUCACUGUAGCAUCUCCCUUUGCUUCAAUACAACAAGAAUGCAAUGAAUGUUUACGAUGGUGAUUAGUAUUGCUCUUACGUGGGACAGUAAUUUCCACUGAUCAUACAGUAUACUUGUGGAAGGAAUAAGGACGUAGGACGAAAUGACAAAGACAUGCAUGGAAUCCUUGGAACAACGAGAUUUUCAAGAUCUCAGAAGGAAACCCUCAUGGAAUCCCGUUUCAUCAUCUUCGUCGCACCUUUCAAGAAUUGCUCCUUCCACCCCUACGGCCUCACGAUGUGGAGAGUAUAACACAUUAACAGCACGUGCUGUUGCUGUUAGCCCCAGGAUAUUUCGUAAAAACGAAAUCUUUGACAUCAGCAACGCUGACAAAUUCGAGAUAAGACUGGCCUUUGAACUAUUCGACACCCGAAAAGUUGGCAGACUUUGUUACAGAGACAUGAAGGGGGCGAUGAGAGCACUGGAAUGCGAUGUGAAGAAAGCGGAGGUGUUAAAACUCAUGAAACAGUUUUCUAAGGACGACAACAAUGAGAUUGACCAUGAGGAGUUCAUGCAAAUCAUAAUGAGGAAAUACAAAGAGAAAGAUCCAGAGGCAACCAUUGGCAAAAUGUGGACAGUCUAUGAUGAGGAAGGCAGGGGUAAAAUAUCGAUAAAAAACGUAAGGAAAGUGGCGAGGGACCUGGGAGAGCCAUUCACAGAUGAGCAGCUCGAGGCAAUGAUCACUAUAUUUGACAGGGACGGGGAUGGUGAAGGUAUGGUCAGCGCAUUCUGAUGAUGUACCACCAACCCCUACUUUCCGCACAGAAUCAAAUCCUACUUUGAUAAAUACCGAACUCGGUUGACUUGCAAGUGUGCAUUUUACUCAGGAUGAGUUCUACGGCAUAAUGAGAAGGGACACUUUGUGAAGGAUUACUCCAUGAAUGCAGCCCACUCUUUAACCUCAUUAACAGACAAACGAAGUUUCCGACAAUCUGAGUAGGAAUGCUGACCUAAUGCUAUGGAGGUAGUCAGGAAUGAUAGGAAUGAUCUAGCUGAGCACCACACAGAAACAUGUAAGCAUUGAAUCUUAAAGAGAUGAACCUUCUUCUAGAAAAACACAAUAUGGAGUUGUUAAAACACACGGAUGACGUCAGUUUCAAACCUUGGUAGCAACUCAUCACUUCCAGAAUAUGGUAGACUACUCACCAAGGUAUGGAAUCUGAGAAUACAUUUGAUAGCUUAUACAAUAUGAUUGCCAGUUCUUCAGAUUA